UACGUAGGGUGCAAGCGUUGUCCGGAAUUAUUGGACGUAAAGAGCUUGUAGGCGGUUUGUCGCGUCUGGUGUGAAAAUCCAGGGCUUAACCCUGGACCUGCAUCGGGUACGGGCAGACUAGAGUGCGGUAGGGGAGAUCGGAAUUCCUGGUGUAGCGGUGAAAUGCGCAGAUAUCAGGAGGAACACCGGUGGCGAAGGCGGAUCUCUGGGCCGUAACUGACGCUGAGGAGCGAAAGCAUGGGGAGCGAACAGG
rnacentral:rRNA from 1 species